CGAAUGGGGCAACCCGUUUUGAGUUAUAUCAAAACACUUCUAUCUGAAUAUAUAGGAUAGAAAGAGCGAACGAGGUGAACUGAUACAUCUAAGUAACCUUAGGAAAAGAAAACAAUAGUGAUUCCCUUAGUAGUGGCGAACGAAAGGGGAAUAGCCUAAACCAAUAUUGUGUCAAGUCUGCAAAUCUUGCAAUGUUGGGGUUGAGGGGUUAUUAUUAAUCUAAUUGCAGUUAGAUUGACAAGUCAAAAAAUAUAAUGUUAACGAAAAAAUCUGGAAAGUUUUACCAUAGAAGGUGAUAGUCCUGUAUGUGAAAAUAUUAUAUCUUGUCUUAAUAAUUCCCAAGUAGGGCGGGACACGUGAAAUCCUGUUUGAAUCUGCCAAGACCACUUGGCAAGGCUAAAUCUUCCAGUAACCGA
rnacentral:rRNA from 1 species